rnacentral:lncRNA from 1 species
CCACAGCUGCUCAGAUAGCAAGCCUCGCUCACUGCAGACCUGCUGCAUGUAUUCAGCCUCUAUGUCCUUCUAAAAAUAUCCCCAUAACACUUUUAGGAAGUUCUUGCUAUGGUGCUGCAUGGAUGCUGGAGUGGAACUAUCUGCUCUCCCUCCCUGCCCUCUACCCAGCAAAAACUGCUGUACAACCCAGAGAGGACUUCCCUCUGAGAAAGAGCUAGCAGGAAAUUACCAUCUCAGAAAUGCUAUCUCAGGGACAGCAACAGGCAACAGCAGUUCCUGUGAAAGUGUGUCUACACAGUGUUCUACACAGUUCGGAGAAGGCAUCAGAUGGCUGCACAAAGGGGACCAUCCUGCAGAAAGGGUCAGGAGAACCACUCCAUUCUUCUCCACUGGUAUUGGGCACCAAAAGCCAGGCUGAGCCUGCCUGCCAAACAAAGGUAACCCUGAGCACAGGAUAACCCCGAAGCUUUGCUGCAUUCAAAAGGACAGGCUGCAAAUAGUUCUUUAGGUCUGAUUUAAGAACAGAAACAAACCAGUCCUCAUUUUGGUAAGCAGAUUAUGUUGCUCAGCAUUAAAGAAAGAGGCAGAGCUAUUCUUCAUAAGAUUACAAGUCCAAGCCCUAGUUCCCCCACUAAUGCUGGAAAAGCUGCAAUUUAACUUCUGAAUGCUGACCUCAAGCUUACCUGAGAGCCCUGUCUGUGUACAAGCUGUGCCUUUGCUCUCCAAUGCACUCCUAAGGACCAUAAAUCACCCCAGAGAUGCUGUUCUACAGACAUACCUUGUUUAGAAAAAUCAGUUUGUGGGAGACUCAAGAUGAUGCACUCAAAGAGCUUUAGAAAGUGAAGAAGAUCUACUCUAAACACCUUUUUUACUUCCCACAGCAGUGGUCAAAGAUCCUUUUCUCUAGGUGCUGAUUCCAGCUGCUGGAAUCUUCUCCCAUUCCUGCUGGGGUGAGGGAAAAAGGAGGUCAGCAAAUAUACAAACUUAAGCUUGUCAUUUAUAGAGGUUAAAAUCACUGUCUUAAAACAGGUACCUCUCACAGCAAAGCAAAAUGCUAUUGCUGUUUUUUUUUCCUCUGGAAAUUGUCACUUUAAAAUAAUGUUUAACACUGCUGCUGUUCUUGGUUUUAAUUCUUAAAUUUAACUUCCACGCAAAACCAACAGGGCACUUGCACACCUAAAACACUGGAGAAGCAAGGAGUCGGAUGGUUUCUCAUUGGGAUCACUGUGCAUAUGUUUUCCCACAAUAUUUAACUGCCCAGUACCUAAGGAAACCCUGUGCCAGCUUUUCUCUGCCUGGGAGAUUUUGACCAAUGUAAAUAGAACUUAACAACAAAUGUUUUGCACUGUUUGCUCUUUUAUGUACCUAUGUGCCUGUGCAUGCAUGAUGAAAAAGGAAAGUUUUCUCCAGAAAAACUAUAUGUGUGAAUGUGCUCAUUUACUCUGACUUCCAUAAAUAUACAUAACUGGAAUAAUA